GCUCCGAAGCGGAGCGGUAGCGGAGGAGUCGGUGCGGCAGGUCCUGGCGGCCGAGAUUUGGGCGCAGAGGCCUGAGAGGCUGGCAGGGAGCGGCGGUAGCACGGGGAGAGCGGCGCCACAGGCUGGGCGCUCCCGGCGUGAGGCGUGCGCUCCAUGCGUGCGGGCCGAGUGCGGCCCCUGCGAGCCUCCGACAUGAAGAAAGACGUGCGGAUCCUGCUGGUGGGAGAACCUAGAGUUGGGAAGACAUCACUGAUUAUGUCUCUGGUCAGUGAAGAAUUUCCGGAAGAGGUUCCUCCCCGAGCAGAGGAAAUCACCAUUCCAGCUGAUGUCACCCCUGAAAGAGUUCCAACACACAUUGUCGAUUAUUCAGCUUCCCUGCUAACUGGCCUUCCUUAUCGUAGAAGCGAGAAACAGAGUGAUGAACAACUUCAUCAAGAAAUAUCACAGGCUAAUGUCAUCUGCAUAGUUUAUGCUGUUAACAACAAACAUUCUAUUGAUAAGGUAACAAGCCGAUGGAUUCCUCUCAUAAAUGAAAGAACAGACAAAGACAGCAGGCUGCCUUUGAUAUUGGUUGGGAACAAAUCUGAUCUGGUGGAAUAUAGUAGUAUGGAGACCAUCCUUCCGAUUAUGAACCAAUAUACAGAAAUAGAAACCUGUGUGGAGUGUUCAGCAAAAAACCUAAAGAAUAUCUCAGAGCUGUUUUAUUAUGCACAGAAAGCUGUUCUUCAUCCUACAGGGCCUCUGUACUGCCCAGAGGAGAAAGAGAUGAAACCAGCUUGUAUAAAAGCCCUCACUCGAUAUAUUUAAAAUAUCUGAUCAAGAUAAUGACGGCACUCUGAAUGAUGCUGAACUCAACUUCUUUUCGAGAAUUUGUUUCAACACCCCUUUAGCUCCGCAAGCGCUGGAAGAUGUCAAGAAUGUGGUUAGAAAGCACUUAAGUGAUGGUGUGGCUGACAGUGGGCUGACGCUCAGAGGUUUUCUCUUUUACUACAUACACUUUUAUCAGAGGGGGAGGCAUGAGACUACUUGGACUGUGCUCCGACGAUUUGGUUAUGAUGAUGACCUGGAUCUGACGCCUGAGUAUUUAUUCCCCUUGCUAAAAAUACCUCCUGAUUGCACUACUGAUAAUUAAAUCAUCAUGCAUAUUGUUUUUUUCUCCCAAGCACCUUUGACAACAUGAUUUGGACAGAGACUGUGCUUUAUCACCUGAUGAAAAUUAAAGAUUUAUUCAAGUUUUCCCUUACAUACCUUGGGGACCAGAUGGCUAAAAACACAGUUUGCACGAAUGAAAGAGGCUGGAUAACCUACCAGGGUUCCUCUCCCAGUGGACGCUAACAACACCUACUUAGAUGUGCAACGUUGCUGGAAUAUUGGGAUAUCUAGGCUAUUCCAUACUGACGAACAAGAGUCUCAAGCUUCAGCCAUUACAG